UUCCCCUCUUUUAAAGUCCUAAAGAUGUAAGCUUUUCAUGAAACAGAUGUAUAAUUCAGCAUAUUCUUUCUAUCUUUUAAGGCUCCUAUAGUGUGCUGAUUACAGUAUUUGUUCCAUAUUGUAGUCUAGUAGGUUGCAAAGUACACCGAGUUAUGUGAUUUUUGAUACAGACAGUUUUAACAGGGUUCAUUUCUUUUUACUUUCAGUAAAAAGCAGUUUGAAUAAUCUGGAUAAAGUGUGGGAUGGCUGAGGGUGUGCCCACAAUGGAUAGCUCAGAUGAGGAGGAGUUCUACGACGCAUACGAUUCUCCUGAGUCAUACAAUGAGGAAGGACAGAGCGCUCCAUCAAUGCCACAGUCUGACUAUGUUCCUCCACCAGGAGAAGUAACAGUUCUCAGUGCUGGCCAGGAGACUGUUACUCUUGGCUUUUCACUCACUGA